rnacentral:lncRNA from 1 species
UCUCAAUCUCCCGACCUCGAGAUCUGCCCACAUCAGCCUCCCAAAGUGCCGGGAUUGCAGGCGUGAGCCACUGCACCCGACAGCUAACUCUACUCUUGACUCCUGGAAUAUGAGGUCCAAUUCAAAUCCAGGCUCCACAUUGCAGGUUUUGUGGAUAAAUGCAAUAGAAUAAUUCUGGAAGCAAGUAAUUCUGGUGAUUCAGUGUAUUCCAGGACUCCCAUGACAACUCUUUCUUACCCUAGAAAAUGCUUUGCAUUAACUCUUUGUACCUUUGGUGUAAAUCCAGUGUCACAACUGUCCUGGCCAGGUCCAGGACAUUUUUUAAACAAAUCCUGGUUUAAAUCUAAAUGAAAAUACAGAAUAUACUGUAAAGCUUAAUAAUCAACACUAAUUCAAGUGUAUCUGGGGAGUGAAUCCUUAUCUGGACUCCAGGCAUCUCCCAUCUGAAAACUUCUUAGUGCAGAGAGUAAUAAUUCUGUAUAUAAAAGAAAUUGUAACAAGCUUUGCUAUGAAAAAUGUAUUGUCAGCUAUGAGGCUGCCCUUUCAUGAAUUUUUUUUUUUUUUUUUUUUGAGACAGAGUCUCGCCCCCAUCACCAGGCUGGAGUGCAGUGGCGUGAUCUCAGCUCAAUGCAAACUCCACCUCUUGGGUUCAGGCGAUUCUCCUGCCUCAGCCUCUGAAGUAGCUGGGACUACAGGCACGCGCUACCACACCCUGCUAAUUUUUGUAUUUAGUAGAGAUGGGGUUUCACCACGUUGGCCAGGAUGGUCUUGAUCUCUUGACCUCAUGAUCCGCCCGCCUCAGCCUCCCAAAGUGCUGGGAUUACAGGCGUGAGCCACCGCGCCUUGGCCCCUUUCAUGAAAUUACCAGUACACAGCAGCUAUGUCUUUUUGUGUUUUAUGACCAAUUACAGUCUAUAAAAUACUAUGGUAUACAUAUUUUUUAUAGUUGUACUGAGAUUUUAUUGAAGUUUGAUUUUAGGAGGUACUAUUAAGUCAAUGAUUUGGCCCAGAGAAAAUUACAGUAUCUACAUGUUUUAAAUAUAGCAUUGAAAAAUGGACUGAGUAUACUGGAUAUAUGAUACGCAGUACUUACUUUGUUAUAGUUGGUGCUAUUACUGAAUCAAUCAAGUAGAUGAAAAAUUAGAAGCAUACGGUGUUCAGGGAGGGAUAAUUCUUUUUUUUUGAGUAGGAAUUUUGCUCUUGUUGCCCAGGCUGGAGUGCAAUGGCGCUAUCUCAGCUUACUGCAACCUCUGCCUCCUGGGUUCAAGCGAUUCACCUGCCUCAGCCUCCCGAGUAGCUGGGAUUACAGGCAUGUGCCACUACGCCUGGCUAAUUUUGUAUUUUUUAGUAAAGACAAGGUUUCUCCAUGUUGGUCAGGCUGGUCUUGAACUCCCAACCUCAGGUGAUUCACCUGCCUCGGCCUCCCAAAAUGCUGGGAUUACAGGCGUGAGCCACUGCGCCUGGCCUGAAUUUUUAUUCUAUAAUUCUGUUAUAGAAUAAAAAAGGGGGGAGGUAUAGUGUGUUGCAAAGUUUUAUGACAAUUUUUGUAGCUAGAAGUAUUCGAAAUUAAAGGAAAAAGAAAAACACAGAAGUAAAUACCUACCAACAUAUGUCCAGUAAUACUAUUUCCAUCUAUGGUAAUCCAGAAAUAAAAGUCUAUAUUGAAAGAUAAGAAGUAGUGUGUCCAAAUACAUCACUGUAGUUGGGUCAUUUUAUCCUGAUUUAAUUUUUUCUAUUUAAAUAAACAAAGGCAACUGCAUUACCAUCUUGUUCUUAAAUAAGAAGAUAACUGGGAAUGACUGAUGACACUGUUAACUUAAACCUUAUUUUUUCAGAGUCCUUGACUAACUUAAGUAACUAAGUAAGCAUUUAAAUAUGACUUCUAUUAUCAGCAUUCAGUAGCUAAUAAUCAUUACUCCAAUUAGUUAUCCAUUAAUAUUAAUUGUGUGAACAACUUUGCAAAAUAUAGAAAUGUUCUAAGUUUGAGAAAACUACUGUUUCAAAGGUCAGAAACCUAGCUUUGAACCCACACAACCAUGGUUAAGGUUAGGACAUGAUGUGUACCGAGUAAAUUUAGAGGCAUUAGGAUUUAAUUCCUCAGUAGCCCUUAGAGUUCAAUGUUGGUAUUUGUGAUUCCCCCAAAUGGACAGAGAUACUUACAACCAAUUCUCACAUCUCAAGAUUCAUGUAAAUAGUGCCAAUUGCCUUUGAAAUCACUGCCAAAUAUUAAUUUUAAAAACCAUCUAAUGAUACUUACUUCCUAACUUUUAACCAUUAUUCUCAUCACGAUCACUCAUUACAAAACUCAUCCACUUUGUCCCAAGUAGAAGCAAAUUAUCUGAUAACCCUCUAUCACCUCAAUAAACUACCUGCCCCUACACUUGCAAAGUUAGCAAAGUCAAGUAUAGAAAACCUAAGAUAGAAGGACUAAGAAGGCAUAGAGACCUUGGGUAGUCCGUCAGUUCUGUAUACUCCUUAGCAGCACAGCAACAAAUCAGCAAUGACAGACAGUAAUUGUCCUAAUCUAGGUCAAUACAACAGCCAAAACUUUGUAAACACUCUCUUUGGCUCUUCCUGGAGAUCAACACUGUUCUAAUUAAAAUGCUGUAGCAUGAAAGGGCUUAAUAGCAACACAAGUGUUCAAAAAUACUUAUUUAUCUAAUAUCAUUUAUCCAAGAAUCUUAAAAAUCACUUAAUACUAAUCAAUUCAAUAACUGAGAGGGGUAGGUACUAAGGAAACUGCAAAGGCCAAGAACAGAAAUUAGGAGUAUAUGCUACUCAAUAAUCUUUGUCAGCUAAAAACUCUGCUG